GAUGAACGCUAGCGGCAGGCCUAAUACAUGCAAGUCGAACGGUGUCUUCGGACAUAGUGGCGCACGGGUGCGUAACACGUAUGCAACCUACCUUACAUUGGGGGAUAGCCUUUCGAAAGGGAGAUUAAUACCGCAUAAGACAGUAGCUGGGCAUCCAGCAGCUGUUAAAGAUUUAUCGAUGUAAGAUGGGCAUGCGUCCAAUUAGUUAGUUGGCGAGGUAAUGGCUCACCAAGACUUUGAUUGGUAGGGGAACUGAGAGGUCAAUCCCCCACACUGGCACUGAGAUACGGGCCAGACUCCUACGGGAGGCAGCAGUAGGGAAUAUUGGGCAAUGGACGCAAGUCUGACCCAGCCAUGCCGCGUGCAGGAUGAAGGCGUUAUGCGUUGUAAACUGCUUUUAUACAGGAAGAAACGACUCUUGCGAGAGGCAUUGACGGUACUGUAUGAAUAAGCACCGGCUAACUCCGUGCCAGCCGCCGCCGUAA
rnacentral:rRNA from 1 species